UACGUAGGGUGCAAGCGUUGUCCGGAAUUAUUGGGCGUAAAGAGCUCGUAGGCGGUUCGUCGCGUCUGCUGUGAAAUCCCGAGGCUCAACCUCGGGUCUGCAGUCGAUACGGGCGGACUGGAGUUCGGCAGGGGAGACUGGAAUUCCUGGUGUAGCGGUGAAAUGCGCAGAUAUCAGGAGGAACACCGGUGGCGAAGGCGGGUCUCUGGGCCGAUACUGACGCUGAGGAGCGAAAGCGUGGGGAGCGAACAGG
rnacentral:rRNA from 1 species